AAGUGGUCUAUCUGUAAAUUUCCUAGUGCUGACUAGUGAAUUUUAUGUUGACUGGUUAAAGAUUACAUUCCUAGGUGGGUUGAAACUGCAGUUAGGCUAGGCAUUAUGUCUUGGGGUGCUGAUGUGGGACCUUAAUAUAAGUGACUCUUUUGGGGGGCCUGUGGUUUUCUUUUUAACACGGGAAAGGCUAUUAGGCUUUGUUGAAUGCUUUUUCUGUAUCCACUGAAAAAAAUCACAUAGUUUUCUCCUUUAUUAAUAUUGUGAAUUAUACUGAUUGAUUUUCAGAUAUUAAACCAACCGUACAUGCUGAAGAUAAACUCCACUUUGUCAUGACAUAUGAUACCUUUAGUGUAAUACUGAAUUCAAUUUGUUAAUGUUUUAAGUCUUUUUGCAUCUAUGUUUAUGAACGUUAGUGAUCUGUAGUUCUUUUGCCUUGUGAUGUCUUUGGUUCUGAAAUCAGGGUAUUACUGGCUUCAUAAAAUGAGUUCAGAAGUGUCUUUACUUUUCUGAACGAUUUUGUGUAGUAUUGAUAUGUUGUUGUUGUUGUUGUUUUUUCCUUUUUCCUUUAAUUGUUGGUAGAAUUAACCAAUGAAGCCAUAUGAGCCUGGAGUUUCCUUUGCUGGAAAGUUUUUCAUUACUAACACAACUUUUAAAAUUUAUGUAGGGCUGCUCAAGCUUACCAUUUCUUGUUGGGUUAGAUAUGGGAUUUUGUGUCUUUUUUUUUCUUUUAAUUUUUUUAAUUUUAGAAAGACAGCAUGAGCAAGGGAGGGGCAGAGAGAGGGGGAGAGAAAGAAUCUUAAGAAGGAUGCACUCUCAGUGCAGAGCCCAACAUGGGGCUCAAUCCCAUGACCCUGGGAUCAUGACCUGAGCUGAAGUCAAGAAUUGGAUGCUUAACCAACUGAGCCACCAAGGUGCCCAUGCAUGGAUCUUGUGUCUUUUAAGGAAUUUGUCCAUCUUACAUGGGUUGUCAAAGGUGUUUAUAAUAAUCUCUUAUUCUUUAAUGCUCUGAAGGCACUAUAGUGAUGUCCCUUCUUUUAUUACUGAUAUCAGUACAAUGUAUGUUUUCCAUUUUUUUUGUAGCUAGAAGUUUAUAAAUUUUAUUAAUUUUUUUAAAAAAGCAUCAAUUUCUGCUUUCAUUAGUUUUUCUCUUCUGCUUUUCUCUCUCUUUUCAAAAGAGAGAGAAAUGUAUUUAUUUUGAGACUGAUUGCAUGUGUACUCAUGUACCCACACACAAGCAGGGUAGGGGCAGAGAUGGGGAGAGAGAGAAUGCCAAACAGGCUCCUCACUGUCAAUGCAGGGUCCAAUGUGGGGCUCCAUCCCAUGAACUGUGAGAUCAUGACCUGAGCUGAAAUCAAGAGUUGGACACUCAACCAACUGAGCUGCACAGGUGCUCCUCUUUUUUAUUUCAUUCAUUUCUGCUUUUAUAUUUUAUUUCCACCUUCCUGCUUGCUUUGAAUUUAAUGUUCUCUCUUAUAUUUUAUUAAAGUGGGAGAUGAUAUCAUUGACUUGGGACUUUUCUUCUUUUUCUAUUUUAGGUAUUCUAAAGCUUUAAGUUUUCCUCUAAGUGUCCUGUGUUGGAUGUAUCCCCAUAAGUUCUGUCUAGCUAGGAAGGACCUUGAAAGGCAGAGGAAAAUUUUUCAUCCCGGACACCUGGCCUAGUUGGUAGUACACUUUAACACACUGGAUGCUGCUUGUCACAAACAUAGCUGUGGCUGGGAGAUCCUUGGGACAUCUGACCUAGAGCCGACAGAAGCCUCCAGAACCACCCAUCCCCCACAAUGCAGCUAUAUUCCCAACCUCAUCAGUCAUCACAUCCAUGACAGUUGCUCAGUUACAAUCAAGAUCACCUCUCUGAAAGUUCCACACACUUAAUCACUGCACUUACCGUUCCCUGGACCUACUUUAUGUCUGUUCAUCUAAGCUAUAGUUUCUUCAAAACCUACCUCAUCUGUGAAGAUUUCCUAGUGCCACUCCAAAGAGAGAUGAAUCCUGGGUGAUACUAGAUGCCAUGUGUUGAAGAUAUCAAGGCUCCUGUCAACCUGGUGCCUGAAAAGGCUAUUGUGCCAACCCCUUCACUUCACUACUGUCAUGAACCCAGUGACCCACCAGAGGACUGGACAGUUUAAGGCCAGCUCCAGAAACAAAUGGAAGACAGUUCAAGUACUUAAUAUAAAAACCUUUUUAAAUUUCUUUUUCUU